rnacentral:rRNA from 1 species
CUACGGGGGGCUGCAGUGAGGAAUAUUGCACAAUGGGGGGAACCCUGAUGCAGCAACGCCGCGUGGAGGAUGACGCAUUUCGGUGUGUAAACUCCUUUUAUAUGUCAAGAAAAUGACGGUAGCAUAUGAAUAAGCACCGGCUAACUCCGUGCCAGCAGCCGCGGUAAUACGGAGGGUGCAAGCGUUACUCGGAAUCACUGGGCGUAAAGGACGCGUAGGCGGGUUGGAAAGUCAGGUGUGAAAUCCUACAGCUUAACUGUAGAACUGCAUUUGAAACUUCUAAUCUAGAGUAUGGGAGGGGGAGAUGGAAUUAGUGGUGUAGGAGUAAAAUCCGUAGAUAUCACUAGGAAUACCUAAAGCGAAGGCGAUCUCCUGGAACAUUACUGACGCUAAGGCGUGAAAGCGUGGGGAGCAAACAGGAUUAGAUACCCCGGUAGUC